rnacentral:rRNA from 1 species
UACGUAGGGUGCAAGCGUUGUCCGGAAUUAUUGGGCGUAAAGCGCGCGCAGGUGGUUCUUUAAGUCUGAUGUGAAAGCCCACGGCUCAACCGUGGAGGGUCAUUGGAAACUGGGGAACUUGAGUGCAGAAGAGGAAAGUGGAAUUCCACGUGUAGCGGUGAAAUGCGUAGAGAUGUGGAGGAACACCAGUGGCGAAGGCGACUUUCUGGUCUGUAACUGACACUGAGGCGCGAAAGCGUGGGGAGCGAACAGG